GACAGAGGGUGCAAACGUUGUUCGGAAUUACUGGGCGUAAAGCGCGUGUAGGCGGCCCUGCAAGUCGGAUGUGAAAGCCCUGGGCUUAACCUAGGGAAGUGCAUUCGAAACUGCAGGGCUUGAGUUCUGGAGAGGAAGGCGGAAUUCUCGGUGUAGAGGUGAAAUUCGUAGAUAUCGAGAGGAACACCGGGUGGCGAAGGCGGCCUUCUGGACAGUGACGUGACGCUGAGACGCGAAAGCGUGGG
rnacentral:rRNA from 1 species